rnacentral:rRNA from 1 species
GUGGGGAAUAUUGGACAAUGGGCGAAAGCCUGAUCCAGCCAUGCCGCGUGAGUGAUGAAGGCCCUAGGGUUGUAAAGCUCUUUUGUGCGGGAAGAUAAUGACGGUACCGCAAGAAUAAGCCCCGGCUAACUUCGUGCCAGCAGCCGCGGUAAUACGAAGGGGGCUAGCGUUGCUCGGAAUCACUGGGCGUAAAGGGUGCGUAGGCGGGUUUCUAAGUCAGAGGUGAAAGCCUGGAGCUCAACUCCAGAACUGCCUUUGAUACUGGAAGUCUUGAGUUCGGGAGAGNUGAGUGGAACUGCGAGUGUAGAGGUGAAAUUCGUAGAUAUUCGCAAGAACACCAGUGGCGAAGGCGGCUCACUGGCCCGAUACUGACGCUGAGGCACGAAAGCGUGGGGAGCAAACA